AUGACGCCCAGCCGGAAUGGCAUGGAAGCCCCACUUCCACAAGGUCUGGCAGCUGGCGCACGGCCACAUGGUCGAACCAGCCAGCCCAGAAGAUCCGCAGGUGCAAGGCCCAGUAAGCCAAAGCGUCCCCCGCAUUGCCCUGUGCCCUGCGUCGUUUCCCAUCCGGCCCAUCAUGCAGCACAGUCCGUAUCACACCAAGGUGUGCGCCGGCCGUGGCUGCAGCCUGGAGGAACUCAGUGGCUGGCAUUCACAAGAAGGUGGCCUGGACCACUGGGAUCUCUGUGGACCCAAGGAGGGGUAAUGAGUCCACGGAGCGAGUCCCUGCAGGCCAAGGUGAAGCGGCUGAAGGAGUACCACUUCAAACUCAUCCUCUUCCCCAGGAAGCCCUCGGCCCCCAAGAAGGGAGACAGUUCUGCUAAAGAACUGAAACCGGCCACCCAGCUGACAGAGCCAGUCAUGCCCCUCCCGAAUGUCUAUAAGAAGGAGAAAGCCCGAGUCAUCGCUGAGGAGAAUUUCAAAGCCUUCGCUAGUCUCCACGUGGCCUGUGCCAACACCCGGCUUGUCGGCAUACGGGCAAAAAGAGCCAGGGAAGGUGAAGAACGAGAUGUUGAAAAGAAAAAAUAAAGCCCUCUUGGGGACUUGUAAUAAAUC